rnacentral:rRNA from 1 species
AACGAACGCUGGCGGUAUGCCUAAUACAUGCAAGUCGCACGAGAAAGUCCUUCGGGAUGAGUAGAGUGGCAGACGGGUGAGUAACACGUAGGUGACCUUCCCUUUAGAGGGGGAUAACCCGGAGAAAUUCGGGCUAAUACCCCGUAAGUUGUACAAACUUGAAAGUAGUACAAGAAAGAUGGCCUCUAUUUAUAAGCUAUCGCUGAAGGAUGGGCCUGCGCGACAUUAGCUAGUUGGUGGGGUAAUGGCCUACCAAGGCUUCGAUGUCUAGCCGGUUUGAGAGAACGAUCGGCCACACUGGAACUGAGACACGGUCCAGACUCCUACGGGAGGCAGCAGUAGGGAAUAUUGCGCAAUGGGCGAAAGCCUGACGCAGCGAUACCGCGUGAGUGAGGAAGGUCUUCGGAUUGUAAAGCUCUGUCGAGGUGGAAAAAUGGCGCAGUUUCUAAUAGGGAUUGCGUUUGAUGGUACACCUGAAGGAAGCACCGGCAAACUUCGUGCCAGCAGCCGCGGUAACAC